GCAGACGAGGCAAAAGAAAAGAAAGCAAUCCUAAAUAUGGAACUUCUCUUACUAUUUCCUUUGUUCUGCGCAAAUAAUUGACUACACUUUGCAAACCAGAAUCUCCAAGUUGAUCCGAGUCAGUGUUUCCAGAUGAUAGGUUUCCAGAACGGCUAUCUUUCUCAGCUGAGCGAAGAUGCAUAGCCUCAAGUCGGCUAUGGAGUAAUUUGUUCUGAUGGAGAGAGCGAUUAAGAUGAGUGGAAAAUUCGUAACAAGAACAUCAACUGAAACUCUACAUAAUCCUCAUCAUAUAUGAUAGGAAUAGAACACACUAAAUAACAUCAAACAGAUAAUGGACGAGAGGUGCCAACUUCGAUAUGUCAUAUGCAUUGAAAAGAGUAAGAUAGCCAAAAAGUAAAGAUCAGAGAGCAGUGGCCACCUGUUCAUUAAGUUCAUGAUACAUCUUCUCCGCUUGAUUCUUUUGCUGCUCUAGCAUACAUUUCUCUUCACUCCACUUGGAGUUAAGCUCGGACUGAAAAAGACCAUAAAAGAUAAUUAAAUCGUUUCUGGAAUCAGCACUUUAGUUUAUGUUUCCCGACAGUAACUGUGGAAGAUUUAAAAAUAACAUUGAAGUUUUAAUAGAGUAGAAGUUACAAUUUCCGUUCCCCUUGAAUCAGCCAAUUUACGUAGUUCAGAUGCCUCCUCUUGAAGGGAAGCCAAAGCCUGCGAUGUUUUCGUCAGCUCUUGAAUAGUUUCAGACUGCAGAAUAACCUGCGUUCCAGAAAGUAGAGAAACAAGAUAGGCCAUUAAAAUGUCUGGACUAAAGGAGAACAAAAUCAAAAUAUAGAAGUAACCUAACAAGCAUUUUAUGAAAAUAUCUGAAGUGUUAUAAGACAGAGGUGUUAUAAAAUAGAGUUUUCAGAAACCACUGUUUAAUAAAAUGGAGCAACAAGAUGGGUAUUGAAGUAUUUCAGCUUCGAGAAUUAUCCAAUAAAAACCAAAGUUAUAGCCAACGACGUGAAUAUGCAUGAUGGUGAAUAUAUUUCUUAAAAUAGAGAGCCUUCACAAACCUGUCUUUCAUAAUUUCUCUGAGCAACACGCCAUUUUUCAUGUUCCUUCUCCAAGUCAUCCUUCAUAGUGGACAUUUGGAUAUUCAUUGCUUCGAUUUGGGAACUGCAUUCAAUUCUAUGAUGUCAAUUUAAAGACGAACAUGUGUAUGCGGAUGAAGAUAGGGAACAUAUGAGCUAUAAUGUAUUGGAUGACGAUUUUCAAAUUGGGUACUUUUGAAGAACUAUGUUUCUAAAAUUGCCACAAGACGUGAGUAACAAGAGAUGCACAAGUGAGGCUCGAGAGAAUCGAACCUUUUUAAUGUUGGCCAAGGAGUCUUCAAGUACCUUCUCAACAGACUUGCGUUCUGUUUUCUCUUUUGUUAAUUCGUCAUCCUUCUUCUUCAGGUCAUCUUUCAGUGAAUGAAGAUAUUUAUCCAAUAUCUGCAGCAAAAGUUCAUGUGUUUUUUAAAAGUACAGAACACAUGAAAUCAGGGAGCUACAAACUAAAUACGAUUUGUCUAAUAAUACCUGAAUUUUUUGUUCUUUUUCAUCUCUCUCCUUAACGGCCUGCUCCACCGUAGCAUCAGUUGUUGUUCUCUUUCCAGCUUUUGGCACCAAUAGAUAACAUGAGUAAAUACUAAUAUAAACUUACCAAAAAGAUAUUAUGACUUAAAAAUAAUGAUAGUUACCCUCUUUGGCUUCUUCUAACUGUUUAGAGAGUGACUGAUUAUCACUGUUCAAAUCGUCCCUUUCUUUUUCGAGCUUUUUCUUCAUGAAGGUAUAAGAUCUCUUGACCCUUGUGAUCUCUGCUUUCAGCUUCUCAGAGUCUGACUCCAUAGUCGCCUGAUAAAAAAGUACAGAGACAGGAUUAGCAGAUUUACAGGUGGGGUAGUUCUCAUUCUACAUGUAACAGCUAAGUUUCCAUCAAGAGAGAUCGUUCUCAUUCUACCUGUGCUUGCUGAGAAGAGUCUAACGUUUUCUCUUUCUCACUCAGUUCGGCUUUGCAUCUUGUUAGAUCCUUCUCCCUCUCACUCAAAUCGUUUUUACAGUUUGUUAGAUCCUUCUCUAGUUGCGAUAUCUUAUUCUGCUUCUCUAACAGAAGCUUCUUGAAACCUUCAAUAUGAUUAUCUUUCGCUUUCAGUUUCUCCUAGUCAUAUCAACACAGUUUAUCGCAUCAGCAUCAUUCAUACACUAUAAGAUACGUUCACCCAAAAAUCUCGCCAGUUAAAAAGACAGUUAUCCUACACUAGAAUACGAUCAAAAUGCCAUUGUGUAAUCAGCGUCAAUGGUAAGAAAUAAAAGGAGACAAAGAGUCCUCCUAGACAGUUUCAUUGACCAGGAAAUACGAGAUUAAUAACUAUUUAGAAUCUAGAUAUACAGUCCCUUACCAACGACCUUCAGCAGACAAUGGUACCAUUUCAUGAAUUGACAUUUUAACUUGUUGCACAGUAACAUAGCUAGGGAACUUAUACACACCUAUGAAAAAAACAUGACUACUGCAGAAAUUUCAACAAUGUCACAUUAACUUUAGAGGAAUACCUCGAGUUGCCGCACUUCAACUUUGAGGCGAUUGUAGUCAGCAACAUCAAUGUUUUUAUAAGUCUCUCUCAACUGCGAAAAAAGAAAACAGUUGUAAGUACGCGUAAAUAAAUAUAUAGCUUUAGUAUCAAAUAGCUUACCUCAUCCACCCUCUUUUUUUCAAGAUCAGACUCCUUCCUUAGCCUUUCCAUCUCGCUUAUACACAAGUCUAACUCGGUUUGCUUUUGCUUCAACAGAUUUUCCGAGUUUUCGGAAUCCGUCUUAGCCUUUUGAGCUACCUCCCGCAAUCUCUGAAAAUUGAAACAAGUUUUAUCAGCUCUUACUAAGACAGUCAGCAGGAUCAGGUGGUGCAAGGGAGUUUAGUCACUCGAGCCAUAUAAAGCAGAAGAAAUUUUCCUGAAAGUUCCACUACGAACCUGGCACUCCUCAAAGUUGUGUUUGUUUUCUUCCCUGAGUUGCAUGUUGCUUUCACGGAGCAAAUUCACCUCACUAACCUGCAAGGAGAACUUUGAAGUCAGCUAAAGUUAAUAGUUUCACUCCAACCUUGGCUAGGGAAUCAAAAAGACGAGCUCCAAGCAGAAAGUACUGAAUUGAGGAACUGAAGAAGCAAGAUUAUUAGUACGUAUCAUUCAACUUUACCUGGAGCUGGAGAGAUUUGAUUUCAUCCUCAGUCAAUAAUGAGGCCCUUGUACUGGCACGCUCAGCAUUAAGUGAACCCCGGGCAGAUUCUGCCAUCUUCAAGGCACUCUCAAGCUAGACAAUAACAAUGUUGCAAGAAAAAUAGUAACGCAGUCAAAACCCUAAUAAAUAUAUAGGAUUUUUUUUUUCUUUACAUGUGUGCGUGUAUUGAGAAGGGUGUUGCCUUAAAAGAGAUGUUAUAGCAAAAUUAGAAUAAUGAUAAAAUACAACAACUUACUUGCGAUUGCAACCGUAACUUUUCCUGUCUCAUAAGUGAUAUUUCUGUUUCAGCCUGUCAAAAAAAGAUGCAGAAAACUUAGAUAACGACACAGUACGCAGACGAGGCAAAAGAAAAGAAAGCAAUCCUAAAUAUGGAACUUCUCUUACUAUUUCCUUUGUUCUGCGCAAAUAAUUGACUACACUUUGCAAACCAGAAUCUCCAAGUUGAUCCGAGUCAGUGUUUCCAGAUGAUAGGUUUCCAGAACGGCUAUCUUUCUCAGCUGAGCGAAGAUGCAUAGCCUCAAGUCGGCUAUGGAGUAAUUUGUU
rnacentral:lncRNA from 1 species